rnacentral:rRNA from 1 species
AACGAGAUCGGGAUAACACCUGGAAACAGAUGCUAAUACCGGAUACAACAGAUGAUGCCUAUCAACUGUUUAAAAGAUGGUUCUGCUAUCACUCUUGGAUGGACCUGCGGUGCAUUAGCUAGUUGGUAGGGUAACGGCCUACCAAGGCGAUGAUGCAUAGCCGAGUUGAGAGACUGAUCGGCCACAUUGGGACUGAGACACGGCCCAAACUCCUACGGGAGGCAGCAGGA